rnacentral:tRNA from 1 species
GUUAAUGUAGCUUAUACUAAAGCAAAGCACUGAAAAUGCUUAGAUGGUUUAUAAUUUAACCCAUAAACA